CUUAACUUACUUUCUCAAAAACUUCAAAACUCCAAAUUUUAAUUAACCUGACUUUUAUUAAACAUGUAAUCCGUGCGAAGCGCGGACACCGACCCUAGUUUUAUUAAAAGAAAAGAAGAGUGAAAGCAUAUUUAUAACAAAUAUUUAAUAAUUAAAGUUUUUUUCGGGACCCCUUCUCUCUCUUCGACCCCUUCUCUCUUUCUCUCUUUAAGGGCAUCUUCGACCCAACUCCAACUUUUACUUUUAAACUAGAGUAAAUGUGGAUAUGAAGUAAGAAAUGCUCCAACUUAACUCCAUAUUUCACUCUGGGGAUGAUUGGUAAG
rnacentral:lncRNA from 1 species